rnacentral:ncRNA from 1 species
GGGGAUAUGGCGAAAUUGGUAGACGCUACGGACUUAAUUGGAUUGAGCCUUGGUAUGGAAACCCACUAAGUGAUAACUUUCAAAUUCAGAGAAACCCUGGAAUUAAUAAAAAGGGGCAAUCCUGAGCCAAAUCCUGUUUUCCGAAACCAAAGGUUCAGAAAGUGAAAAAAGGAUAGGUGCAGAGACUCAACGGAAGCUGUUCUAACAAAUGGAGUUGGCUGCGUUAGUAGAGAAAUCUUUCCAUCGAAAAUUCAGAAAGAAUGAAGUGAAGGAUAAACGUAUAUACAUACGUAUUGAAUACUAUAUCAAAUGAUUAAUGACGACCCGACUGAAUCUGUAUUUUUAUAUAUGAAAAACGGAAGAAUUGGUGUGAAUAGAUUCCACAUUGAAGAAAGAAUCGAAUAUUCAUUGAUCAAAUGAUUCACUCCGUAGUCUGAUAGAUCUUUUCAAGAACUGAUUAAUCGGACGAGAAUAAAGAUAGAGUCCCGUUCUACAUGUCAAUGCCGGCAACAAUGAAAUUUAUAGUAAGAGGAAAAUCCGUCGACUUUAAAAAUCGUGAGGGUUCAAGUCCCUCUAUCCCCAA